GAUGAACGCUGGCGGCGUGCCUAACACAUGCAAGUCGAGCGGAGAUUGUAGAAGUAGCAAUACGGACACAAUUUUAGCGGCGGACGGGUGAGUAACACGUGAGUAACCUGCCUUCUACAGGGGAAUAACACCGUGAAAAUGGUGCUAAUACCGCAUAACAUUGCACUGUGGCAUCACAGAGCAAUCAAAGGAGCAAUCCGGUAGAAGAUGGACUCGCGUCCGAUUAGCUAGUUGGAGGGGUAAUGGCCCACCAAGGCGACGAUCGGUAGCCGAACUGAGAGGUUGAUCGGCCACAUUGGGACUGAGACACGGCCCAGACUCCUACGGGAGGCAGCAGUGGGGAAUAUUGGGCAAUGGGCGCAAGCCUGACCCAGCAACGCCGCGUGAAGGAAGAAGGCUUUCGGGUUGUAAACUUCUUUGAUCAGGGACGAAAAAAAUGACGGUACCUGAAAAACAAGCCACGGCUAACUACGUGCCAGCAGCCGCGGUAAUACGUAGGUGGCAAGCGUUAUCCGGAUUUACUGGGUGUAAAGGGCGUGUAGGCGGUUUCGUAAGUCGGAUGUGAAAUUCCCAAGCUUAACUUGGGCGCUGCAUCCGAAACUGCAGACUUGAGUACUGGAGAGGA
rnacentral:rRNA from 1 species